rnacentral:rRNA from 1 species
AAUGAACGCUGGCGGCAGGCCUAACACAUGCAAGUCGAACGGAUCCUUCGGGAUUAGUGGCGGACGGGUGAGUAACGCGUGGGAACAUACCCUUUGGUACGGAAUAGCCUCGGGAAACUGGGAGUAAUACCGUAUGUGGUCGAGAGACGAAAGAUUUAUCGCCAAAGGAUUGGCCCGCGUUGGGUUAGGUAGUUGGUGGGGUAAUGGCCUACCUAGCCGACGAUCCAUAACUGGUUUGAGAGGAUGAUCAGCCACACUGGGACUGAGACACGGCCCAGACUCCUACGGGAGGCAGCAGUGGGGAAUCUUAGACAAUGGGGGAAACCCUGAUCUAGCCAUGCCGCGUGAUCGAUGAAGGCCUUAGGGUUGUAAAGAUCUUUCAGGUGGGAAGAUAAUGACUGUACCACCAGAAGAAGCCCCGGCUAACUCCGUGCCAGCAGCCGCAGUAA